rnacentral:rRNA from 1 species
AACGCUGAGGUGUGAUGACGAGGCACUACGGUGCUGAAGUGACAAAUGCCCUGCUUCCAGGAAAAGCCUCUAAGCAUCAGGUAACAUCAAAUCGUACCCCAAACCGACACAGGUGGUCAGGUAGAGAAUACCAAGGCGCUUGAGAGAACUCGGGUGAAGGAACUAGGCAAAAUGGUGCCGUAACUUCGGGAGAAGGCACGCUGAUGGUAGGUGAAGCGACUUGCUCGUGGAGCUGAAAUCAGUCGAAGAUACCAGCUGGCUGCAACUGUUUAUUAAAAACACAGCACUGUGCAAACACGAAAGUGGACGUAUACGGUGUGACGCCUGCCCGGUGCCGGAAGGUUAAUUGAUGGGGUUAUCCGUAAGGAGAAGCUCUUGAUCGAAGCCCCGGUAAACGGCGGCCGUAACUAUAACGGUCCUAAGGUAGCGAAAUUCCUUGUCGGGUAAGUUCCGACCUGCACGAAUGGCGUAAUGAUGGCCAGGCUGUCUCCACCCGAGACUCAGUGAAAUUGAACUCGCUGUGAAGAUGCAGUGUACCCGCGGCAAGACGGAAAGACCCCGUGAACCUUUACUAUAGCUUGACACUGAACACUGGUCCUUGAUGUGUAGGAUAGGUGGGAGGCUUUGAAGUGUGGACGCCAGUCUGCAUGGAGCCAUCCUUGAAAUACCACCCUUUAAUGGCUGGUGUUCUAACGUGGGCCCGUAAUCCGGGUUGCGGACAGUGUCUGGUGGGUAGUUUGACUGGGGCGGUCUCCUCCUAAAGAGUAACGGAGGAGCACGAAGGUCAGCUAAUCCUGGUCGGACAUCAGGAGGUUAGUGCAAUGGCAUAAGCUGGCUUGACUGCGAGCGUGACGGCGCGAGCAGGUGCGAAAGCAGGUCAUAGUGAUCCGGUGGUUCUGAAUGGAAGGGCCAUCGCUCAACGGAUAAAAGGUACUCCGGGGAUAACAGGCUGAUACCGCCCAAGAGUUCAUAUCGACGGCGGUGUUUGGCACCUCGAUGUCGGCUCAUCACAUCCUGGGGCUGAAGUAGGUCCCAAGGGUAUGGCUGUUCGCCAUUUAAAGUGGUACGCGAGCUGGGUUUAGAACGUCGUGAGACAGUUCGGUCCCUAUCUGCCGUGGGCGCUGGAGAAUUGAGGGGGGCUGCUCCUAGUACGAGAGGACCGGAGUGGACGCAUCACUGGUGUUCGGGUUGUCAUGCCAAUGGCAUUGCCCGGUAGCUAAAUGCGGAAGAGAUAAGUGCUGAAAGCAUCUAAGCACGAAACUUGCCCCGAGAUGAGUUCUCCCUGACCCUUUAAGGGUCCUGAAGGAACGUUGAAGACGACGACGUUGAUAGGCCGGGUGUGUAAGCGCAGCGAUGCGUUGAGCUAACCGGUACUAAUGAACCGUGAGGCUUAACCUU